rnacentral:rRNA from 1 species
AUACGUAGGGGGCGAGCGCUGUCCGGAAUGAUUGGGCGUAAAGGGCGCGUAGGCGGCCCGGUAAGUCUGGAGUGAAAGUCCUGUUUUUAAGAUGGGAAUUGCUUUGGAUACUGUCGGGCUUGAGUGCAGGAGAGGUAAGUGGAAUUCCCAGUGUAGCGGUGAAAUGCGUAGAGAUUGGGAGGAACACCAGUGGCGAAGGCGACUUACUGGACUGUAACUGACGCUGAGGCGCGAAAGUGUGGGGAGCAAACAGGAUUAGAUACCCUGGUAGUCCACACUGUAAACGAUGAAUGCUAGGUGUAGGGGGUAUCGACCCCUUCUGUGCCGCAGUCAACACAAUAAGCAUUCCGCCUGGGGAGUACGGCCGCAAGGUUGAAACUCAAAGGAAUUGACGGGG